rnacentral:rRNA from 1 species
CACAGAGGUCUCAAGCGUUGUUCGGAUUCAUUGGGCGUAAAGGGUGCGUGGGCGGCGCGGUAAGUCGGGUGUGAAAUCUCGGAGCUUAACUCCGAAACUGCAUUCGAUACUGCCGUGCUUGAGGACUGGAGAGGAGACUGGAAUUUACGGUGUAGCGGUGGAAUGCGCAGAUAUCAGGAGGAACACCAAUAGCGAAGGCAGCUCGCUGGGACGGUACUGACGCUAAGGCGCGAAAGCGUGGGGAGCGAACAGG